UGGCAUUGCAACAUAUGACCAUUAUUUAUUUUCAGCUUUAGUCUCCAUCAUAUCAUACUUUAACAUCAAAACUAUCAUUUCAUUAUGUAACAAUCAAACUGGAUUGUUGAAUAUUAUAGUCAGUGGUGGCAUCCAACAUCAUUGCAUGCAUAUCUAUUAUGCUGAGACAGUGGCUGGUUUGGAGAAAAUAGAAAGAAAAAGUGAGGAAAAGUAAAGAAAAUGAAAGAGAAAAUAAUAUCAAUAUUCUUUCUUUUCUCCAGACCAUUUCAGAAAAUAUCAAGGAAACAAAAUAAAUUAAACUACACCAUGUCUCUUCCUUAUUUGGAGAAUGAAUUCCUGGUUAAUGGAAAUGCCCUUGGAUUAGUACCACACAAAUGUGGGUUUGGAGUUGAAAUCCCACUCACAUGCUCUGUAAAAACAAGUCUUGUGUGAAAAGAAUAUCAAAUACUCUCUGUGGUCUGCAAACCAGUAAACAGAACGGGAAACAGAGAAUGGCUUGCUUUUAUUUGAGCCCAAGCAGUACUUGAUUUGGGAAUGGAUUUUUUCUGUUUUGAAUAAUAGUUACCUCAACUUUGUUGAUCUUUGUGGAAUAAGAAUGAGUAGGCAUCAAUAGUUAUCAUUUAAUUUGAUUUUUCAUAAACCCACAAAGGAAAUUAUGCUGCACAGUUAUUUAAUAAAAAAAAUAUAUAUUCAAAAAGUUAAGGAGAAAAGUUUAGGGUGUGGUUAUCGUGCUGAUCUGUAGUGAUUUUGCUUCCUUCUUUUUUAUCUGGGUGAACUUAUUUAGUCUAGUUACGUUAUUUUAAAACUGUUGGUUCAUCUUUUCAAUUCAAGUAUCUUAUUUUGAUGUCCAGAAUGCUUUGACUGAUCCUCAACG
rnacentral:misc_RNA from 1 species